UUUGUUUUAAAUUUAUUUAUUCUUUUUCAGAGUAGAAGAGACUUUCUAGAUGAAUAGUUCUUGACCCACAGUUUCUUGCAUAUUGUAGUGAAAAUGCUAAGUCUGGGCUUGAAGAAGUGAUUUAGCACCUGGUGAGAAGGCAGGGCCAACCCAGGGGAGCUCAGGUGUAUGCAAUGCACUGAGUGGCCAGAAGGGCUGGAGCCAGGAUCCACCCUUGCCCAGACUUCAUCUAAGGGUUGGCAGCAGAAGCAAAGAUGUUUCUCUGGAUAUCCCUGUGUGUCUGAGGCCUUCUGAAUAAUCUCCUGGGAGCAACAAGAGCCUCUGAAGAAGCAAUAUUUGGAUGGGAAACUUAUGUCCUCCAAGCUGGCGAGUUGCAACACUGACACAGAUUUUUCUUGUCACUGCAAAACUCUCCCUGUUAAAGCACCACGGACAGCUCCGGGCCGCUCAGUGCUGCUGUUCCGUCUCUUGGGUCAACUUGGGUUGUCACCGUCCCCAAAGGAAAGGAAAUAAAAGGAGGGAGAUCCAUGCUCUACCCAUCUCUGUGCCGGCCCCAGCAGUGGGAAUAUUGUCCAGGUCCAACCACAGCCUCCAUUUGUUGCAUUGUUUCUUUACCACUGGGAACCUCAGCGAUGAUAAAUACUUGAAGGAGCUUGGAGUUCUGAUCCGAUCCCGCAGGCUGACCCGUGGUCUACAGAACACCUGAGCAAGCAGAGCCCUGGGCAGCAGCAAGGGCUGCUAUCACCUUCCCUCCAUGGAAGAUGCAAGAGGGCAUUUAGAAGCUCCACAGCACCACUCAGUCUGUUAUCCUCGUGCUGCAAAUGAAUGGAAAGAUAAUCUAUUGUGCACAAAAGAAGCAAACACAAAGCCAUUGUUAAGUGCCAGGAUGGAAGGGAUGUUUGCACAGUGCGUGGCCUGGCUGAGGUUUUAUCCUUCUUGCUCAAGUCCUUGUAUUAUUUCAGUAAUGAACAGAGCAGAAAAGGCUUCGUUCUGCUCUUUAAAAGCAGUGCAACAGAAUUUCCAACUGUGAGGCUCGAACAGAAGCAUCUGAUGAGUUAAAAAUACAACACACAAAAAAACAAAGGGAAAGGCAAUGCCUCCAGUGGAACUAGCUGUGCUACCACCUGGAAAUGUUGGAUACACCUGUGAAGGCUCCAGGAAUUCAUAGGACACAAAGGCAAGAAGUGUGUGUUCUGUUUGCACUAGGAAAAGAAAACUCAAGGCAAAUUACAAGGAGAGAGCUGUAACCAACCCCAUACUGCCUGGGGCUCUGCAGCUGAGCUCUGGCUGUGCCUCUGGGUCAUCCCAGACUCCUGCAGCAAUGGGAAUGGACUCAUCUCUUCACCAAAACAAGUGGCAGAGAGCUGAGGAACAUUAUCUACAUUGUUUUAAUGAGGAAGUUCCCCAUGGCUUGUGCUGGAGGAAGGUCCUGCAACCACACACUGUGCUCUGUUCCAGCUCCCUUCCUAUUCAUCUUCUGCACCUCCACAGUUCUUCAGCUGCUCCUUUAUUUCUGGUUUAUAAUGCAAGAGGCUGGCUCCCACCAUUCCUGAUGAGCACUGCUGGUUGCUGACCUGUUCUUGCCUGGUAUCCCCCAAGCAAUAGGGGAUGGAUUGAAGUCUGGCAGAGUCUGUCAGACUUCCUGCUUCUGAGUCCUCCACCUGCUUCUGAGCUGGGACGUGAUGUGCUGCAGGGAAUGAGUUGUUUCCUAAAACUUAGUAAAAAGCAAGCCAUCUUUUCAGAUCCAUACAUUCAUCUUGCUUUUCUUUUCUAUUUCCUCAGUCCUUUGGGUGCCUUUUGGACACCUAAUGCAACCCAAUACAAUUAGGGGGCAUAAACACAUGGUCAGCCAAGGAGUGAAGCAAAGAACCACACAUGGGGGCAAUUUGGAAGACCCAAAUUAAGUCCCCUUGCUGUGCUUUGGCCAAACACACCACCUCUAUUUGGUGUCUGUGUUGGGAGUGAAUCAAGGCAGCUCCAACCAAGGUGUUCCUGGAUAUCAGUAGUACAUGGGCACGCAUAGGAGUGUUUUUCAAGAUGGAGAAAAAAAAAAGAAACAGCCUGUAAAUACUUGUAACCCCAGGGCAACAGAACACAUAUCCUGGCAACGCAUGUGGGUUUUACUCUUCCAUGACAAUUUGCUUUGCUAUUCAUGAAAAAAGAUGUUGGUGCUGUUACCUUAGCAACUGCCGCAUCACGUUACGGCAAUGCUCUGCCCGAGGUGCAUGAAGCCCUGCCUUAAAGGAGCACAUCUCUCUCUCCUGUGCCUCUCCCUAUGGAAAUAGAGCCCAGCUGAGCUGGGAUCCUCACCAGGAAAGCCUCAGAAGUUGGUAAUGAAGCAGGAGGAAAUAUGUUCCUUUAGAUGUUCUGUUUGGAGCUGUGUCUGAUUGUGGCUUAGAGCCACUUUGGACAAUAUGCUGUAUACACUUGAGCAAAAGGGAACUAUUUUCCCAAAGUAUUUUCACUUUUUAAGGGAUGAAAAAGGGCAAUAAGGGACACUGGCAGGCUGGAUGUAUAGUGUGGAACAUCUUUGUCUAGGUGCCUCCACCCAUUGUGUCCACAUUAUCAUCUUCUACCAGACUGGGCCAAUUUCCCAAGAAAUGACAGAUUUUGCCUUCCUUUGUGUUGACUUCAAUAGAGAAAUUCCCCUUUGCAGGUGGAAGGGUUGCACCCCCUUCUCUCAGCCCCAUGGCAGCAUCUCCAGACCUCACAGCUCUGAGUCCUUUCCAACUUCCUGCAGGUGUUUUCUGAAUCAAGGCAAGACACCAUGGGAAUUAUAAGACCCAACUUACAUUGCUGUGUCACCAUGGGCAGUUUUU